GACGAACCGUGCGAACGUUAUUCGGAAUCACUGGGCUUAAAGCGCGUGUAGGCGGGCCGGCACGUCGGUCGCUGAAAGCCCCCGGCUCAACCGGGGAAGCGGCGCCGAUACGACCGGCCUGGAGGGGGGUAGGGGGCGCCGGAACGGCCGGUGGAGCGGUGAAAUGCGUUGAGAUCGGCCGGAACGCCCGUGGCGAAAGCGGGCGCCUGGACCCCGCCUGACGCUGAGACGCGAAAGCCAGGGGAGCGAA
rnacentral:rRNA from 1 species